UAUUAAGCGGACAAAAGAAGAGUAACUUUUUUGAUACUUUACAGGGAGCUAACGGUUGGUGGGAGUUAGUAAGUUAGAGAAAGUGAAUGGGCUUUUGCGCUGAGGCAUUGAACUGAAGUAGGUGACUCCGGGAACUCCCGUUAUAGAGGAAAAUCGUUGAUAGACGAUUGAUAACGAGGAUUUGAAUAGAAUUAUUCAAAUUAAAUUGAGGUGGCACCGUGAAUUAUUCGCCCUCAGA
rnacentral:ncRNA from 1 species